CGCCUCUCCGAGACUUCUUUUCCUUCAUCCAAAGGUGGCUGCUGGCCAGGGCCAGUGAGGUGACAAGUUCAGGUUCUCAGCCCAGGGCUGUGGACUGUUACUGUGAGCGCGGCUGCUGUCACCUGCUUUCCAGGUGCCCGUUCCAGGCUGUCUGUGUCACUGUCCCUUGCCCAAUGUGCGUCCGGCCCUGCUUCUCUCCAUCUCUGUCUCUGUGUAUCUGAAAGUUCCUCCCAGAUUUAAUCAGCUCUGGCCCUGUCUCUUGUAUCUCCCCUCUGUCCCAAAGUUGGCCCCUGGCAAGUGGCAGGUUCCACUGGGCCAGGGUCACCAGCAGGAUCGACUGUCCCUGUGUCCCCAGGGCCAGUGCCUCUUUGAGCAGUGCAACUUCGAGGAUGCCCUGACGGUUCUCCCAGGCCUGGGAGCUCCAGCCCGAGAAGCAGCACUUCUGGUACCAGAGCAUGGCCUGCCUCCUGGCCCUCCAGCGGCAUCACGACUGCCUGGCACUCAUCAACAAGCAGCUGAGGCAAGGGCAAGGCACGACCAACGCCGACCUCUACAUCCUCCGUGCCAGGAUCUACAACCUCUUCCAGACGGGGCAGAGGCUCCCGGCAGCCCUGCCCACUAAGCUGCCCGGCUGGGUGGCUGUCCCUUGUUACUUGGCUCUGGCUCUGUUCCAGCCCCGUGCUGGGCCCCAUGGAAACCACAGGUGAGGAACCCUGUCGUCCCUGCCUUCCUGCAGCUCUCAGCCCAGGGGAAACACCCUGAGCAGACAGGAGCACAAGGAACGAUUUAGCCUCAGUUGUUUGAAGUGCCAAGGGGAGGUGCCCUGGGGAACCUAAGGCAGCCUUUGCUCCUCCGGCUGUCUCUUCCCUCUCCCUCCCUCCCUCCCUCCCUUCCCAUUUGGCUCCAUGGACCCCUCCUCCCAGCCCCACACAGGCUGUGACACACACAGGGGAGGGAACAGCUCUGGGGCGAGGGAGCCAGUGUCCUGGGAGGAGGGAGGGGUGCUGGGCAGGGCAGGGAGGGUGCUGCAGU
rnacentral:lncRNA from 1 species